AGAUGAGAUUUAACUUGUUACCUUCUUUAUAUGAAUAUUUUAUUUUUCUGUAAAAGUCUACCAUAAAGGAGAGAUGGCUCUUGCUAAUCGGCCUAAGAAGGAGACGCCCAGUUUUGUAUACAAGAAGCCGAAGAAUAUGCUACUUCCUGGAACUAGCCUUGCCUCUGUUGAAUCCUUAUCUGUCCCUCUUGUCCAGGAAGUUGUUCUCUCAGCAGAUAUUCGAUGUGCUGAA
rnacentral:misc_RNA from 1 species